rnacentral:rRNA from 1 species
UACGUAGGGGGCAAGCGUUGUCCGGAAUCAUUGGGCGUAAAGAGCGUGUAGGCGGUCCGGUCAGUCGGUUGUGAAAGUCAAGGGCUCAACCCUUGAAUGCCGGUGGAUACUGUCGGGCUAGAGUGCGGAAGAGGCGAGUGGAAUUCCUGGUGUAGCGGUGAAAUGCGCAGAUAUCAGGAGGAACACCUAUUGCGAAGGCAGCUCGCUGGGACGUAACUGACGCUGAGACGCGAAAGCGUGGGGAGCAAACAGG